UUGAUUGGUUGGCUGUGCUUACAUUCACCUUCUUAGCUCAUUCUCUUUGGAGCUUUUUUGACUUCUUCAUUACUUGAGGCUGUAAAUAUGUUGUUGUUUUGCUAAGCCCUUUAGGUCAUGUGGGCUUGGAGGUUAAUUUGGUAUGAUUUUAAAACUGCAGAGCAAAUGACAUUCUUUAGAAGAAUCUGACAAGCUUUGCACAUUCUAAUUUGAUUCCUGGCAUGGUUUAUUCCUCCGUGUGCUAAUGUGUCUGUCCAUGAGAGCUGUGCACCCACGACCCUUCUUGGCUAAUUUUCAUCCUGCAUUUCUGAUCUAGAUUGCUGAGUCCAAAGUUCAGCCCUGAUGUAAGAUGUUCUAUGCAUAAACUUUAAAAUCCUUGUCAUUGGCCACUUUUAAACCAUGAUUACAAACACAUCUUAGGAAAGAUUGGGUCAGUGCAAAGCCCUGCUUUGUUUUUGGAACUGUCACAGUGGGUGGGUUGUUUAAA
rnacentral:lncRNA from 1 species